rnacentral:rRNA from 1 species
GACGAACGCUGGCGGCGUGCCUAAUACAUGCAAGUAGAACGAGUUGCGAACGGGUGAGUAACGCGUGGUAACCUCCCUCAUAGCGGGGGAUAACUAUUGGAAACGAUAGCUAAUACCCCAUACCAUCGGUUGUGCCCAGAGGGGAUUAGCUAGUAGGUGGGGUAACGGCUCACCAAGGCGACGAUCCCUAGCUGGUCUGAGAGGAUGACCAGCCACACUGGGACUGAGACACGGCCCAGACUCCUACGGGAGGCAGCAGUGGGGAAUAUUGCACAAUGGGCGAAAGCCUGAUACAGCCAUGCCGCGUGUAUGAAGAAGGCCUUCGGGUUGUAAAGUACUUUCAGCGGGGAGGCGUUACUCGCAGAAGAAGCACCGGCUAACUACGUGCCAGCAGCCGCGGUAAUUC